CGGACAGCGUCUCCAAGCCGGCUGACAAGCCGACUGGGCCGCCCAGGGCCGCCGCCGCCGCCCUUAAUGCUGCGCCGACUGCGCAUGCGUCGGCUGUCCACCGGCAGCUGCGGGCGGUGCCACAGCGCGCUUGCGCGAGCCGGGGCCGCUCCGCCAGCUGCGCAUGCGUCCUCGCGCCGGGAGCGCUGCUGUACGGCCGCCGGGCGAGGCAGGCAGGCUAGUGGACCUGUUGAUACUGGCUCUGCCGAAUUAGCUAGUAAGAUGCAGUAGAGCUCUCUCUGUCUCCGUCUGUUGGGUGCUGCCUAGGACGCGGUAACAGAGGGAACAGAAGUUCGUUCCUCACGGUUUGGAGGCUGGGAAAUCCAGCAUCUACCAGCAUCCCAUGACAGAAGAGCAAGAGAGUGUGUGUUCCUCAGUCUCUGGGCUGCAUUCUUUCAAGUUAAUGUCUAAAAAUAAAUCAAGUUAUUCCUGUCUGAGGAAAAGAUGGGUUUUUCAAAAAAAAAAAAAAAGUGCUGUUGGGACAAACAGAGAGCUGUCUGCAGAAGGAUGGAGAGAAUGCAAUCCUCACACUGAAAUCAGCUGCAGUGGACCAGAGAGCCCAGCGUGAAGCAUGAAAGCAGAGAAGCGUCACGUCGGUGAUUGACUGCUGGGAACUGGGAACGAGUGGUGCCACUUUACUCCCUAACAACAAAGGAACAAAACAGACAGGUAGUGACUACGAAAGAACAUGGGCAGGUUGUCUCACACAUGAGGGCAAGUACACACCCAGCUGUUAAAAAUGGAGACAGCCCCAACUGGAGAGAAACACAGACAGGAGACGCGAACAGAGAGCCACGUGAGGACGGAGAGGAAAGGAAGUGUGGAAGUCCCCUGUUCUACCCAUGAAAUGAUGCUCAGUUUCCCCGACAGGGAGAGAAGUGGAAAUCGCAGUUCUCCUCCACGCCAGGAGUUUGAUGAGCUUCUCUGGUAGACAGUGCAAGUGCAUACAGGACCGACACCUUGGAAAGGCACUUGGCAAAAAUGUAACAGGAGUACCUCUGCAUCAACCAGCAGUCUCACUUCUAGGAACUGUCCCGAGAAAGCUCCUCCACAGAUGAUAACAUUUGCAGGAGGUUAUGCAGCAUGACUCUGUAGUAGCAAAAGAUGAGAAACCAUUUGAAUGCCUGCUAGCGGGGGGGGGGGGGGGGGGGGGGGGGGGGGGGGAACCCCCCCAAAUGGUACCAUAGACACAAACCGGGGGACCAGGCAACCCAUAAAGAGACAGAGGCAACUCUAAGUGGAUUGAAAUGAUCUCCAGAAUAUGUUUUUAGUUGUAAGGAACUAGUACACAGCAGUACAUAGAAUGUGUAAUAUUUGGGUUUAGCACCACCAACAAAAAGAAGGGGUAAGAAUAUAUUUAGGUAUUUGCUUAUAUUUGCAAAGAGUAGAAAUAAAAAUAGUUACCUAUGGAGUUAGAGGGAAUGA
rnacentral:lncRNA from 1 species